rnacentral:tRNA from 1 species
UGCCCCUAUAGCUCAGUCGGUUAGAGCAGAGGACUCAUAAUCCUUUUGUCCCAGGUUCGAGCCCUGGUGGGGGCACUAA